UUCACAUGGAACGAGUGGCGGACGGGUGAGUAACACGUGGGUAACCUGCCCUUAAGUGGGGGAUAACAUUUGGAAACAGAUGCUAAUACCGCAUAGAUCCAAGAACCGCAUGGUUCUUGGCUGAAAGAUGGCGUAAGCUAUCGCUUUUGGAUGGACCCGCGGCGUAUUAGCUAGUUGGUGAGGUAAUGGCUCACCAAGGCGAUGAUACGUAGCCGAACUGAGAGGUUGAUCGGCCACAUUGGGAAUGAGACACGGCCCAAAUUCCUACGGGAGGCAGCAGUAGGGAAUCUUCCACAAUGGACGCAAGUCUGAUGGAGCAACGCCGCCUGAGUGAAGAAGGCUUUCGGGUCGUAAAACUCUGUUGUUGGAGAAGAAUGGUCGGCAGAGUAACUGUUGUCGGCGUGACGGUAUCCAACCAGAAAGCCACGGCUAACUACGUGCCAGCAGCCGCGGUAAUACGUAGGUGGCAAGCGUUAUCCGGAUUUAUUGGGCGUAAAGCGAGCGCAGGCGGUUUUUUAAGUCUGAUGUGAAAGCCCUCGGCUUAACCGAGGAAGCGCAUCGGAAACUGGGAAACUUGAGUGCAGAAGAGGACAGUGGAACUCCAUGUGUAGCGGUGAAAUGCGUAGAUAUAUGGAAGAACACCAGUGGCGAAGGCGGCUGUCUGGUCUGUAACUGACGCUGAGGCUCGAAAGCAUGGGUAGCGAACAGGAUUAGAUACCCUGGUAGUCCAUGCCGUAAACGAUGAAUGCUAGGUGUUGGAGGGUUUCCGCCCUUCAGUGCCGCAGCUAACGCAUUAAGCAUUCCGCCUGGGGAGUACGACCGCAAGGUUGAAACUCAAAGGAAUUGACGGGGGCCCGCACAAGCGGUGGAGCAUGUGGUUUAAUUCGAAGCAACGCGAAGAACCUUACCAGGUCUUGACAUCUUUUGAUCACCUGAGAGAUCAGGUUUCCCCUUCGGGGGCAAAAUGACAGGUGGUGCAUGGUUGUCGUCAGCUCGUGUCGUGAGAUGUUGGGUUAAGUCCCGCAACGAGCGCAACCCUUAUGACUAGUUGCCAGCAUUUAGUUGGGCACUCUAGUAAGACUGCCGGUGACAAACCGGAGGAAGGUGGGGAUGACGUCAAAUCAUCAUGCCCCUUAUGACCUGGGCUACACACGUGCUACAAUGGAUGGUACAACGAGUUGCGAGACCGCGAGGUCAAGCUAAUCUCUUAAAGCCAUUCUCAGUUCGGACUGUAGGCUGCAACUCGCCUACACGAAGUCGGAAUCGCUAGUAAUCGCG
rnacentral:rRNA from 1 species